rnacentral:rRNA from 1 species
UACAGAGGUGCCCGAGCGUUGUUCGGAUUCACUGGGCGUAAAGGGUGCGUAGGUGGUGAGGUAAGUCGGAUGUGAAAUCUCCAGGCUCAACCUGGAAACUGACAUUGGAAACUACCUUGCUGGAGGAUUUGAGGGGGGAUUGGAAUACUUGGUGUAGCAGUGAAAUGCGUAGAUAUCAAGUGGAACACCAGUGGCGAAGGCGAAUCCCUGGAAAUACCUGACACUGAGGCACGAAAGCUAGGGAGACAACAGG